rnacentral:rRNA from 1 species
UACGAGGGGGGCGAGCGUUGUUCGGAAUUAUUGGGCGUAAAGGGUGAGUAGGCGGUUUGGUAAGUCUUAUGUGAAAUCUACAGGCUCAACUUGUAGUCUGCAUGAGAAACUGCCGGGCUUGAGUAUGGGAGAGGUGAGUGGAAUUCCUGGUGUAGCGGUGAAAUGCGUAGAUAUCAGGAGGAACACCUGUGGCGAAAGCGGCUCACUGGACCAUAACUGACGCUGAUGCACGAAAGCUAGGGGAGCAAACAGG